rnacentral:rRNA from 1 species
GUAGCAAUACCGGGUGGCGACCGGCGCACGGGUGAGUAACGCGUAUGCAACUUACCUAUCAGAGGGGGAUAACCCGGCGAAAGUCGGACUAAUACCGCAUGAAGCAGGGGCCCCGCAUGGGGAUAUUUGCUAAAGAUUCAUCGCUGAUAGAUAGGCAUGCGUUCCAUUAGGCAGUUGGCGGGGUAACGGCCCACCAAACCGACGAUGGAUAGGGGUUCUGAGAGGAAGGUCCCCCACAUUGGUACUGAGACACGGACCAAACUCCUACGGGGGCAGCAGUGAGGAAUAUUGGUCAAUGGCCGAGAGGCUGAACCAGCCAAGUCGCGUGAGGGAUGAAGGUUCUAUGGAUCGUAAACCUCUUUUAUAAGGGAAUAAAGUGCGGGACGUGUCCCGUUUUGUAUGUACCUUAUGAAUAAGGAUCGGCUAACUCCGUGCCAGCAGCCGCGGUAAUACGGAGGAUCCGAGCGUUAUCCGGAUUUAUUGGGUUUAAAGGGUGCGUAGGCGGCCUUUUAAGUCAGCGGUGAAAGUCUGUGGCUCAACCAUAGAAUUGCCGUUGAAACUGGGAGGCUUGAGUAUGUUUGAGGCAGGCGGAAUGCGUGGUGUAGCGGUGAAAUGCAUAGAUAUCACGCAGAACCCCGAUUGCGAAGGCAGCCUGCCAAGCCAUUACUGACGCUGAUGCACGAAAGCGUGGGGAUCAAACAGG